CCUACGGGAGGCAGCAGUGGGGAAUAUUGCACAAUGGGCGAAAGCCUGAUGCAGCAACGCCGCGUGAGGGAUGACGGCCUUCGGGUUGUAAACCUCUUUUAGCAGGGAAGAAGCGAAAGUGACGGUACCUGCAGAAAAAGCGCCGGCUAACUACGUGCCAGCAGCCGCGGUAAUACGUAGGGCGCAAGCGUUAUCCGGAAUUAUUGGGCGUAAAGAGCUCGUAGGCGGUUUGUCGCGUCUGCUGUGAAAUCCCGAGGCUCAACCUCGGGCCUGCAGUGGGUACGGGCAGACUAGAGUGCGGUAGGGGAGAUUGGAAUUCCUGGUGUAGCGGUGGAAUGCGCAGAUAUCAGGAGGAACACCGAUGGCGAAGGCAGAUCUCUGGGCCGUAACUGACGCUGAGGAGCGAAAGGGUGGGGAGCAAACAGGCUUAGAUACCCUGGUAGUCCACCCCGUAAACGUUGGGAACUAGUUGUGGGGUCCAUUCCACGGAUUCCGUGACGCAGCUACGCAUAACGUUACCCGUCCGUCGGGUAGGUACGGCCGCGACGGACGUAAACCUACAAACGGAAGUUAGACGGCGUGAGACGUGCCGACGGACGACGACGAGGGAGGUAGG
rnacentral:rRNA from 1 species